CUCGGCUCGGCCUGUGUGGGCGCUGUCGCCCUCUGCUGGAGCGGCAUCGAGAGCGAUGGACGUGGACGGAUCGUUGGUAUCGGUUGGCGAGUUCGGCAGCUACCAGAAGCGGCUGACGGUCAUCUUCGUCCUUCUGCAGAUUUAUGUGGCUUGUCAGUCAAUGCUGAUUGUGUUAGUGGGAGCCCAGCCUGACUACAAGAUAAUCUCACAGGAUGUGCCCAGCACACAUGAAGACCUUGUUAAAUACGUCGUAUUUGAGGAAGAUUUCACUUCCAUUGUAACUGAGUGGUAUUUAAUCAGACAAGAAGCGUAUAAAGUAAACUUGGCUGGAUCCUUGUUCUUCUUGGGCUUGCUCUUUGGCAACAUCUUAUUUGGACCAUUGUCUGACCAAUUUGGCAGAAAACCUAUCUUCCUUAUAGGCUUAUUCCUUGAUGUCGUAUUUGGGUUCAUUUCAGCAGCUGCUCCUAAUUAUGAAAUCUUUGCCUUGAUGCGACUUCUUGUUGGGUUUGUGAAUGGUGGAAUGUCUCUGGUGGCUUUUGUACUGACACAGGAAUUUGUGGGCAAAUCCUAUUGGGCUUUAACAGGGUCACUCACCAAUCUGGUGUUUGCAUUUGGAAUCGCAGCGUUUGCUGUCAUUGGUUAUUUCAUCAGGGAUUGGCGUGUUCUCACCGCUGCAGCCAAUUGCCCUGGAGUUCUGUUUUUCUUCUUUUUCAUAACAAUUCCAGAGUCACCACGGUGGUUGUACUCUCAAGGGAGGACUGAGGAAGCAGAGGAGGUAUUGCAAAGUAUUGCAUACGGGAAUGGCAAUGAGAAGAUUUUCAUUCAGCUAAAACCCUGUGCAGGAGCCAAUAAAGUUGGUCAAUCUGCUCAUGGAUUGAUGGAGCUGGUGAGACAUCCUGUAUUACGCUGGAGAAGUGUCAUCUUGAUGUAUGUAUGGUAUGUUUGCAGUCUUGUAUAUUACGGCUUGACAUUGAAUGCAGGUGAACUGAAAGGCAACCGCUACUUGAACAUUGCCAUGUAUGGUCUUGUGGAAUUGCCAGCAUUCCCCUUGUGCCUUUACUUCAUUGAUAAAUCCUGGUCAGGGAGGCGUAAGACAAUGGCAGCCUUUCUGCUGUUUGCAGGCGUUGCUUGUUUAAGUACCAUGUUCCUGCCUGAGAAACAAGAUUUUGACAUGGGAUUCUUGGUGGACGUCACUUCAGUAGCUCUGUGUGGAAAGCUGGCUGUCAGUGCUGCCUUUAACAUUGCUUAUGUUUUUACUGCAGAACUGUAUCCCACUGUGAUCAGGAAUGCUGGAUUGGGAAUCUGCUCCAUGUCGUGCAGGAUCGGUGGGAUUCUGGCACCUUUCGUGCCAUCACUGAAAUCUUUGAAUCCAUCUAUGCCAUUUAUCAUCUUCGGGAUUGCUGGAAUGUCAGGAGGAUUUUUGGGACUUCUUCUCCCAGAAACCUUAAACAAACAAAUUGCAGAGUCCAUAGAAGAUCUCAACCCUCCAGACUACCUGCAUCUUGAAGACAGAAGGAAAAAAAAGUUGUAGAGUGUCUUCUCACACAAGCAUUCGUCCAAAAGCAUUCAAAUCGGCAGGAAAGAUUGUCUAAUUUUAAGUGCUGAUUACAUUCACACAAAUUAAUCUUCUGUAGCCUCUUGUGCUUUAAAAAAAAUCUACACUGGAAAUUGACUGAACCUGUGCACAAAACUGGGACCCUGCUGUAGAUGAAAUGAAUCGCUGUGCCAAGUUUCCAUUAAUUGCACCAGCUUGUUCGACUACAGGAAGACACAGGAUCAUGAACACCGGAGACUGUGAUUGAACGGAUGCCUCCAAUGGAUGUAAGGAGUGAAACUUCGGAUUCGGAUAUCUGCGGACAUUACAGAAGAUGUCAAGAGGGGUUAUAUGACCAGCUCGGGUCUUUUGAAAUUCAUUGUUUAAGAUCGGUUAGUUAUUCUUAGUGACAAUAUGUUGCUAAGGGAAGAAUUCCUCAAGCAGGAAAGAUUUACCUCAAUUAUUUAUUUUGUAACAUUUGUUUGGUAGCAAGUGAUAAAUAUUUUUGUGAGAUUUAUAACUAUACAGUUUUGCAAGUAUUUUUACUUGUGACCUGGAAUUUUUAAGUUUAAUAAUGUUGAGUAUAAGCUAUUUGAGUAAUAUAGUCUUAAAGUUUAUUUUUUACAUAGGGAGUAUUUGUAAGCCAAUGGGAUAUUAAUAUCAAAUUUAAAUGUAGAAUGUAAACGUCAAACUGUGGGAGCUCAGCAGUAUUAACCUUUUACAGUAAUACAAAUUGCAAGAUAACUGAAAGACUUACAAUGGGAAUAGUAUGUACUGAGCACACUUUAUACUCAUUCUUCCUAUUUGAAUGCUCGAGAUUUGAAUAGUUUCCUAUUUGAAUGCUCGAGAUUUAAGAAAACCCAGAUCUGUUGACCUUUUCAUGUUGAUUUUGCGCUGCUUUCAUCUUGCGCUACUUCCAUUCUGAAUUAAGAGCCCUGAAAUGCUAUAGUUCUGUAGUUUAUAAGAAAGUUUGUUUUGCAAGUAUAGCGCAUAUCUCUGCCUUUCUUUUUCUGUGUGUUGGAUCUAUGAUUCAAAUGACUUGGGUUAUACUUCUCAAAUCCAAUGACAUUUUCUUCACUGCAUGGUCCUAAUUACUCUCCAGGAUCCUCUGUGGAAAAGUGUGAGAGUGUUUAGGAUAACUGAUGGGGAAUGGCUACUUGAUAUCCGUCUGGGAGGUGGUAUGGCACAGGUAAUUUUGCAAAUCAAGAGUUAAGCCUCCAGCAUUGGCUGGAGGAGGAAAGAGAUGGAAAUUGUUUUUUUUUAAAAAAAAACAAGAAAAUCAAGUUUAUAAUCAAUAAGGAAGAGGACCACACAAAAUGGAGAACAAUGAAACAAUUGGACCAAUGCAAGCUGUCUUUUACCAAUUGCAAUUUUGCACAUUGUAUCGGCUUCCAUAGGCAUAGUUCAUGCUACUCUAUGAAAAUAAGCAAGUUUAUACUGUAACUUGUAUCUUACAAUAUCAUUGUUAGAGUUAAAAAUGGAAAGAAUAAAGCUUUUCCGGGGAAAAAAAAGUUUCUUUGAACCUUCUAGCAGCUUGAAGUUAGAAUGUAGUACAGCUAUAAAUCAGAGUGUUUCUUACCCUUGGUGGUUACCCUUUAUCAAUAUAAAUUACAACUCUGUGGGAACAGUAAGAAUACAACACAGUAUUGGCCUUGUUCUUGCCGAUCUUGCCUUACAUAGAGCAGAGAUGGCAGAAGUUAGGUUUUAACCAGCCUGUCCCCUUUGUAGACCCCACCCAUUUCAUGAAGCAUACUUGGAUGGCCAGUGGAAAUCUGGCCCUUAUUGAUAAAUAAUAAUGCAAAGUCUUUGACUUUCAUGUUUUGUUUCAAAACUAUUGUGGUUUUAUUGUGGUUUGAGUAGUUCUCAGAAGUGCUUAUCUUAACACACUUGUUUAUAUGCUCAGUCUAAGCCAAGGCAGAUACCUGACUGGAUUAUACAAGUAUUUAAGCGGAAAUUUGCCAUGUGCAUUGCUUCACCGUAGACUGUGUCAAAGUAAAUAAAGCUAUGAUUA